rnacentral:rRNA from 1 species
UACGUAGGGGGCAAGCGUUAUCCGGAUUUACUGGGUGUAAAGGGAGCGUAGACGGCAAUGCAAGUCUGGAGUGAAAGGCGGGGGCCCAACCCCCGGACUGCUCUGGAAACUGUAUAGCUGGAGUGCAGGAGAGGUAAGUGGAAUUCCUAGUGUAGCGGUGAAAUGCGUAGAUAUUAGGAGGAACACCAGUGGCGAAGGCGGCUUACUGGACUGUAGCUGACGUUGAGGCUCGAAAGCGUGGGGAGCAAACAGG